ACUGGAACGUCUCAGCCGCCUGCCACGUCAUUCCGCUCCGCUCCCACAGCGUACCGUCACACCACACGCUGCCGUCUUUCUCUUCACCACCGAGAACCACACGGCAGGACACGGACCUACUGCUCUGGACUUUUACUAAAAACUGUAUCCUGGUGGUGUGUGUUUAAAGAAAUGCCUGGGAGAGAGACAGAGAGAGGGAUACACACUCGCGCACACACACACACACACACACUCCUCUGGACUGAACUGGGCAGUGACCUGCAGCUCGGCCGGGCUGAUUUGCCCCCUCCGUUAAUGCCUCCCUCCCCCCCGCCUGCCCAGUGUUCAGACUACCUGUUCAUUACGCUGCAGCUGAACAGUAGUCCGCACAUUGGUUAGGCUGGGCCGGGACACACACACGUCAGAAAAGACGAGGCUACAACUUUUCAGCUUUGGGAUACAGGACAGGGUCUCGGCGGUCAGGACGAACCAGUACUCCUUGGAUCCUCCCUUCAUGAAGCUGAUGUUGAUGGUGAGCCAGCCUUUGCGGAUCACCUGUGCAGAGGGACGGGAAGGAAAACGUCACGGGAGACAGUCGACAUUCGGCUUUACCGAAACACACACACACAGACACAUAGAUACACGCACACACACACACACAUAUAUAUAUAUAUACACACAGGUCUCAGGCUGAGAGCAGCUGUGUGUGAAAACACUCACAGGCUCACAGUGAAAACCUGCUCACACUUACCUGCACAGGAACACGGGUCUGAACAGGGACGACAAUCUGUACUGCGGGAUUCGCAGAAUUAUUACAUGACGAUUCAUUAUGUUUUAUUAAAACUGUUCAUGAAAGUUGA